rnacentral:rRNA from 1 species
AUGAACGCUAGCGGCAGGCUUAAUACAUGCAAGUCGAACGGUAACAGGUCUUCGGACGCUGACGAGUGGCGCACGGGUGAGGAACACGUACACAAUCUACCUUAUACUGGAGAAUAGCCCGGGAACUAGGGAUUAAUACUCCAUAGUCUUUAAUGAUCACAUGAGAAAUAAAGUAAAGCUUCGGCGGUAUAAGAUGAGUGUGCGUCCCAUUAGAUUGUUGGUGAGGUAACGGCUCACCAAGUCGACGAUGGGUAGCUGGCGUGAGAGCGCGACCAGCCACACUGGCACUGAGACACGGGCCAGACUCCUACGGGAGGCAGCAGUAGGGAAUAUUGGUCAAUGGACGAAAGUCUGAACCAGCCAUGCCGCGUGGAGGAUGACUGCCCUCUGGGGUUGUAAACUCCUUUUAUAUGAGAAGAAACCUCUGGAUUCACUCCAGAGCUGACGGUAUCAUAUGAAUAAGCACCGGCUAACUCCGUG